rnacentral:rRNA from 1 species
CCGCAAGGUUAAAACUCAAAUGAAUUGACGGGGGCCCGCACAAGCGGUGGAGCAUGUGGUUUAAUUCGAUGCAACGCGAAGAACCUUACCUACUCUUGACAUCCAGAGAAUUCGCUAGAGAUAGCUUAGUGCCUUCGGGAACUCUGAGACAGGUGCUGCAUGGCUGUCGUCAGCUCGUGUUGUGAAAUGUUGGGUUAAGUCCCGCAACGAGCGCAACCCUUAUCCUUUGUUGCCAGCACGUAAUGGUGGGAACUCAAAGGAGACUGCCGGUGAUAAACCGGAGGAAGGUGGGGAUGACGUCAAGUCAUCAUGGCCCUUACGAGUAGGGCUACACACGUGCUACAAUGGCGUAUACAAAGAGAAGCGAACUCGCGAGAGCAAGCGGACCUCAUAAAGUACGUCGUAGUCCGGAUCGGAGUCUGCAACUCGACUCCGUGAAGUCGGAAUCGCUAGCAAUCGUAGAUCAGAAUGCUACGGUGAAUACGUUCCCGGGCCUUGUACACACCGCCCGUCACACCAUGGGAGUGGGUUGCAAAAGAAGUAGGUAGCUUAACCUUCGGGAGGGCGCUUACCACUUUGUGAUUCAUGACUGGGGUG